GCCCAGGUGGUGGAAUUGGUAGACACGCUAUCUUGAGGGGGUAGUGGGCUACGCCCGUGGGAGUUCGAGUCUCCCCCUGGGCACCA
rnacentral:tRNA from 1 species